UACAGAGGGGGCGAGCGUUGUUCGGAAUUACUGGGCGUAAAGGGCGCGUAGGCGGCCUUCUAAGUCGAACGUGAAAUCCCCGGGCUCAACCCGGGAACUGCGUCCGAUACUGGCGGGCUUGAAUCCGGGAGAGGGAUGCGGAAUUCCAGGUGUAGCGGUGAAAUGCGUAGAUAUCUGGAGGAACACCGGUGGCGAAGGCGGCAUCCUGGACCGGCAUUGACGCUGAGGCGCGAAAGCUAGGGGAGCAAACGGG
rnacentral:rRNA from 1 species